rnacentral:snRNA from 1 species
GUGCUCGCUCCGGCAGCACACACUCUAAAACUGGACCCCCAUGCAGAAGAUCAGCAUGACUCUUGUGCAGGGAUGACAUGCAAAUUCGUGAAGCAUUCCGUAUUUUU